CCUACGGGAGGCUGCAGUGAGGAAUAUUGGUCAAUGGCCGGAAGGCUGAACCAGCCAUGCCGCGUGAAGGUCAGUGCCCUAUGGGCGUUAAACUUCUUUUGUGCGGGAGCAAUAAUGGUCACGUGUGGCCAGACGAGAGUACCGUACGAAUAAGCAUCGGCUAACUCCGUGCCAGCAGCCGCGGUAAUACGGGGGAUGCAAGCGUUAUCCGGAUUUAUUGGGUUGAAAGGGUGCGUAGGCUGUGAGGUAAGUCAGCGGUGAAAUGCCCCCGCUCAACGGGGUGAAGUGCCAUUGAUACUGCCUUGCGAGAAUGCGGAUGACGUGGGAGGAAUGUGUGGUGUAGCGGUGAAAUGCAGAGAGAUCACACAGAACACCGAUUGCGAAGGCAUCUCACGAAUCCGCGAUUGACGCUGAUGCACGAAAGCGUGGGGAUCAAACAGGAUUAGAUACCCCGGUAGUC
rnacentral:rRNA from 1 species